AGCAGCGUGGCUCAGUGGAAGGAGCACGGGCUUGAGAGCCAGAGGUCGUGGGUUUGAAUCCCGGCUCUGCCA
rnacentral:tRNA from 1 species